rnacentral:tRNA from 1 species
GAAGCGGUGGCUUAAAGGAAGAGCAUUGCUUUUGCAAGGCAAAGAUGCGGGUUCAAGUCCCGCCCGCUUCUC